GAUCUCCCCGAAGGCCUUCGCCGGCCUCAGACAGCUCUCUUCCUCAACCUGGACAACAACAGCCUGAAGACUCUUCCCGCCGGCGUCUUCAGGCCGCUGCGCUCUUUGGAGAUGUUGGUUCUGGACAACAACUUCCUGUCCACGCUGACGGCGUCGGCUCUGGAGGGUCUGAUCAACCUGCAGGAGCUCUACGUGAGGAACAACCA